rnacentral:lncRNA from 1 species
GACAUGAGGUCCAUCCAAUUAAGUCCAUGAAAUAAUUUUGCAAAUGAGUCAGUGUGGUGGCACUGCCCAUAAUCACAGCUACCUGGGAGGCAGGGGCAGGAAGAUCACCUGAGCCCAGAGUUCCAGGGCAGUCUGGGCCACCCAGUGAGAGCCUGUCUCAAAACAACAAUAAUGAUUGUGCAAAUGGACCUCAGUAAACCCCAAGUGUAGGUGGAUUGUACAUGGAGAGCCUCUGACACACCUCUGUGGGGAGCGGUGCUGGUCUGAGUCCUCAGGCCCAGGCCUGGCAGACUGUGACAUGCUGGUUGGGCAGAGGCAUCAGGCAGCACACCAGGUCAGGGGUGCCAGAGGGUUGGAGGAGACUGCAGAUCUCCUGUUAGCUCCGGAAGGGGCCCAGGAAAUGUGGGGUGACUCUGCCCUUCUAAUAAACUGCCCAGACCAAUAAAUCCACCAACAAUCACAGCCAGACCAAGGAGUGGCCUGGCCUCCCCCGAGGCUCUGCCACCUCUCCUCCAGUCCCCUCUAUUCCCUUCCCUCAAGCAGGUGCCCAGGAGGAUGCUCCCUGACCCAAAUCCUUCAUGAUCACAUGCCACCGUCCCUGCCAGGAAGGAGCAACUUCCUGAGCUGAAGGCCUUGCCUUGUUGAUGUGGCCUGGCACGGACCCUGGUUUCCCAAGGCACUCGGCUGGGCCAGCGCCUUGGCACAGAGCUGUUCCCACAGCAAAACCAAACAGAAGCCAUGCUGGAGUGGGAGGGCGCUGGAGAGCCUUCCUUCCAUCUGGCCAAGUCUUGCUGCCCCAAGACCUGCUGCCUUCCCACCCUGCAGAGCCGGGGAGCCCCUAAGCAGGAGGCAGCACUACGGGGGCCCGUCU